AAAAAAUAUAAUAAUUUAUUCCUAACAAAUUCAUAAUAAAAUAAAAUAUUCUCAACAUAUUUCCAGCAUAUUCAUUAUAUAAACCAUAAAUGUACUAUAAAUGUCAAUACAAUGAAGCAGAUUAAGAUACAAAUGCAUGAUAUUAGAAUUAUCAAGCAUCGAUCAAAUACUAUGUCAUGUGGAUUUCAAUAAUUGUAUUCAAAUCACAGUCGUUAAAUGGAAUGAUCAUAUUCAAUUUAUUGUUUUUCCAUAUACUGAAAAUAAAUCAUGAAUAGCACAUGAUAAAAUAUGCACAAUGUAUCAUUUAAUGAAAUCAAAAUAAAAUCAACAUUUUGGCAGUUUCUAUAAGAUCAACAUUGUACAGACAGAUUUUCAAAACAAAAUACAUCUUUAAUAAAUC
rnacentral:lncRNA from 1 species